CCUACGGGAGGCAGCAGUGAGGAAUAUUGGUCAAUGGCCGGAAGGCUGAACCAGCCAAGCCGCGUGAAGGACGAAGGUGCCAAGCAUUGUAAACUUCUUUUGUCAAGGGACAAAAUCAGGCUCGAGAGCCUGACCGAGGGUACUUGAAGAAAAAGCAUCGGCUAACUCCGUGCCAGCAGCCGCGGUAAUACGGAGGAUGCGAGCGUUAUCCGGAUUUAUUGGGUUUAAAGGGUGCGUAGGCGGGCUGUUAAGUCAGCGGUAAAAGCCCGGGGCUCAACCCGGGCGGGCCGUGGAAACUGGCUGUCUUGAGAUGUCGAGAGGUAUGCGGAAUGCGCAGUGUAGCGGUGAAAUGCUUAGAUAUGGCGCAGAACUCCGAUUGCGAAGGCAGCAUGCCGGCGGCGAUCUGACGCUGAGGCACGAAAGCGUGGGUAUCGAACAGGAUUAGAUACCCGGGUAGUC
rnacentral:rRNA from 1 species